AUGUUUUUUUGUUUAAUUACUUCGGCAUAUCAAAGGGCGAUGGAUCGAGGUUGGAUGAGUCAACCAAGAGCUAGUGCUGCUUACAAAGAUGGUGUCGAACAAUUUCUGUCUUUUGCAUUCCAUGAUGUUCCAGCUGGUGAUAGAAUUCUCUGUCCUUGUGUAAAUUGCCGAAAUAAAGCUAUGCAGAGUUAUGAUGGAGUGAAAACUCACUUGAGAUGUGAUGGUAUUCUUCAAGGUUACACUAAGUGGGUUUGCCAUGGAGAGGAUUACAGUGAACCAUCAUUUGCAUUUGCUCAUGUAUCAGAUAACAGUGGCAAUUUUUCUAUUCCUGGCAUCCCAAGGAAUGUUGUUGGAGAAGGCAACCAUGGAAGGAUGGAUGACAUGCCAGGACUCUUAAGUGCUGUCUUUGCUAUGGCUAACAGUUGUGAACCUUUAUCAAGCACAUCUGAUGGUGAAUUAGAUGCAUUGAAUUUGAGAAUAUGGUACCUAAUUCAGUUGAGGAUGAGAAUGCAGAUGCUCAAACAAGGAAGAAACCAAAUACGUAUGCAAGCUUCUUGGAGGAUGCAAACACAGAGUUAUACCCUGGAUGUAAAGCAUUUUCUAAGUUGUCAUUUCUCAUCACCUUGUAUCACAUGA
rnacentral:rRNA from 1 species